GCUGACACAUUCCAGCCAAUCAGCAGCAGACCCUCCCUCCAAGACCCUCCCACCUCCUGGACAGCUCACUAAGAAUGCAGCUUCAAAAUGGAUGCUGUCCAGGAGCUGGGAGGGCCUGGGAGGGAGGGUCUGCUGCUAAUUGGCUGGAAUGGGUCAG
rnacentral:miRNA from 1 species